AGAUAGACCGUACCCGAAACCGACACAGGUGGAAUGGUAGAGAAUACCAAGGCGCUUGAGAUAACUAUCCUGAAGGAACUCGACAUAUUGCAUCCGUAACUUCGGAAGAAGGAUGCCCCAUUUGUAGGCAACUAUGAAUGGGGGGCACAAACCAGGGGGUUGCGACUGUUUAUCAAAAACACAGGGCUCUGCGAAAUCGCAAGAUGACGUAUAGGGUCUGACGCCUGCCCGUUGCUGGAAGGUUAAAUGGAGGAGUUAACGCUCUGAAAUGAAGCCCCAGUAAACGGCGGCCGUAACAAUAACGGUCCUAAGGUAGCGAAAUUCCUUGUCGGGUAAGUUCCGACCUGCACGAAUGGCGUAACGACUUCCCCAUUGUCUCCAGGGUAGACUCAGUGAAAUUGAAUUCGAGGUUAAGAUGCCUCGUACCCGCGGUUAGACGGAAAGACCCUAUGAACCUUUACUAUAGCUUCGCAGUGGCAAUACGACCGCAAUGUGUAGCAUAGGUGGGAGACUUUGAAGCCGGAGCGCCAGCUCUGGUGGAGUCUUUAGUGAAAUACCACCCUUUGCUUUUGUGUUGUCUAACUUCGCACCGUUAUCCGGUGCAAGGACCCUGCGUGGUGGGUAGUUUGACUGGGGCGGUCGCCUCCCAAAUUGUAACGGAGGCGCGCGAUGGUUGGCUCAGGACGGUCGGAAAUCGUCCAUUGAGUGCAUUGGCAUAAGCCAGCCUUACUGCGAGACUGACAAGUCAAGCAGUUACGAAAGUAGGUCAAAGUGAUCCGGUGGUUUCCGCAUGGAAGGGCCAUCGCCCAACGGAUAAAAGGUACUCUAGGGAUAACAGGCUGAUAGCGCCCAAGCGUCCACAGCGACGGCGCUGUUUGGCACCUCGAUGUCGACUCAUCUCAUCCUGGGGCUGUAGAAGGUCCCAAGGGUAUGGCUGUUCGCCAUUUAAAGAGGUACGUGAGUUGGGUUCAGAACGUCGUGAGACAGUUCGGUCCCUAUCUGCCGUGGGAGUUGGAGUCUUGAGAGGAUCUGCCCUUAGUACGAGAGGACCGGGGUGGACGUACCUCUGGUGUACCUGUUGUCGCGCCAGCGGCAUAGCAGGGUAGCUAUGUACGGACUAGAUAACCGCUGAAAGCAUCUAAGCGGGAAACUAACCUCAAUACCAGGACUCCCUAUCAGAGCCGUGGAAGACCACCACGUUGAUAGGAAGGGUGUGGAAGAGCAGUAGUGCUUGAAGCUUACCUUUACUAAUUGCCCAA
rnacentral:rRNA from 1 species